GGUCCUCUAGCUCAGUUGGUAGAGCGUAAGAUUCUUAAUCUUGUGGUUGUGGGUUCGAGCCCCACGGUGGGUG
rnacentral:ncRNA from 7 species